CUUAAGGAAACGUGACAUGUCAUAAUUCCCUUUUAUUCCAGACGUUUGGUCCUUAAGGGGUUAAAGCCCACACUGACAUCUCAUGAAUGAAUCAGCCCAUCUUGUUAACCCCAUAAGGACACAAUUGUCCAAGUUCUGAACCAAACCAAAUCCUAAAUGUGUUUGUUCAACCAUUAUCCAAGGGUAUGUCUUUGCCCCCAUGCAUAUUAUAUAUUGUUUUUAAAGGACAUGAAUAUCCUUUUUAUUUUUAAAUCUCAAAUUGGGGGGGAAAGAGAAAAGUGCAACUAAAUAAAAAGAGCUCAAAAUAAAU